rnacentral:piRNA from 1 species
UCCCAGAACUGGCACUGCUUAAAUAGGCCU